rnacentral:misc_RNA from 1 species
ACGAAACGUUACAAGUGCAAAAAAAGGGGAAAAAGAAGGAAACACGAAAAAGGAGACAAAAAACGAAGAAAGAGAGGAAACGAAAUAAACGCAGAGAGGGUAUCCCUCAUUUUGCCCCGCGUAAUAUUCUCGACGGGAACAAAAAUCUUCACGACCGUACUCCCCUUUCGUUCCGCCUCUACGUUUCUGCCUCGUCGACGAUGCACCUGAGAAGAGUCCUCGUUAAGGCUCCGUUAACUCCACACCGGCGAACGAACAGCAACAGCAACAGCAACGCGACGGUUUGUAGCAGC